UGAGGAAUCUUCCACAAUGGGCGAAAGCCUGAUGGAGCAACGCCGCGUGCAGGAUGAAGGCCCUCGGGUCGUAAACUGCUUUUAUAAGUGAAGAAUAUGACGGUAACUUAUGAAUAAGCACCGGCUAACUACGUGCCAGCAGCCGCGGUCAUACGUAGGGUGCAAGCAUUAUCCGGAGUGACUGGGCGUAAAGAGUUGCGUAGGUGGUUCGUAAAGUGAAUAGUGAAGUCUGGUGGCUCAACCAUACAGG
rnacentral:rRNA from 1 species